UGUGUGUCUGUGAAAAAUUUGGGCGGUAAAGCGUGAAAAAACGAAAUGCAGAGAAUUAAUCGUUCGGAAGACAACAGCGAAUACGUUUAUAUUUACAUGUCACUAUACCGCAAGCAGCUCGGUCGUACCGAGAUAAUAAGGGAUGAUAACUAACAUGCAUUUGUGAGAGUCUCUAUCUCGUUAGACUUUCAAGAAUUUCAGUUACGAGUGUCGGAUACAGUGCCUAACGAGAAAACUAUGAAACUAAAUCGCUAUCCUCUAUGUAUAAUUUAUAAUUAUAUAGCGAAUUGUUCGAUAAUACGAUUAAACGCUAUAUUCAUAAGUAAAGAAUUGGGCGGAUCGACUACUCCUAA